rnacentral:rRNA from 1 species
UUAAGCGACUAAGCGUACACGGUGGAUGCCCUGGCAGUCAGAGGCGAUGAAGGACGUGCUAAUCUGCGAUAAGCGUCGGUAAGGUGAUAUGAACCGUUAUAACCGGCGAUUUCCGAAUGGGGAAACCCAGUGUGUUUCGACACACUAUCAUUAACUGAAUCCAUAGGUUAAUGAGGCGAACCGGGGGAACUGAAACAUCUAAGUACCCCGAGGAAAAGAAAUCAACCGAGAUUCCCCCAGUAGCGGCGAGCGAACGGGGAGCAGCCCAGAGCCUGAAUCAGUGUGUGUGUUAGUGGAAGCGUCUGGAAAGGCGCGCGAUACAGGGUGACAGCCCCGUACACAAAAAUACACAUACUGUGAGCUCGAUGAGUAGGGCGGGACACGUGGUAUCCUGUCUGAAUAUGGGGGGACCAUCCUCCAAGGCUAAAUACUCCUGACUGACCGAUAGUGAACCAGUACCGUGAGGGAAAGGCGAAAAGAACCCCGGCGAGGGGAGUGAAAAAGAACCUGAAACCGUGUACGUACAAGCAGUGGGAGCACGCUUAGGCGUGUGACUGCGUACCUUUUGUAUAAUGGGUCAGCGACUUAUAUUCUGUAGCAAGGUUAACCGAAUAGGGGAGCCGAAGGGAAACCGAGUCUUAACUGGGCGUUAAGUUGCAGGGUAUAGACCCGAAACCCGGUGAUCUAGCCAUGGGCAGGUUGAAGGUUGGGUAACACUAACUGGAGGACCGAACCGACUAAUGUUGAAAAAUUAGCGGAUGACUUGUGGCUGGGGGUGAAAGGCCAAUCAAACCGGGAGAUAGCUGGUUCUCCCCGAAAGCUAUUUAGGUAGCGCCUCGUGAAUUCAUCUCCGGGGGUAGAGCACUGUUUCGGCAAGGGGGUCAUCCCGACUUACCAACCCGAUGCAAACUGCGAAUACCGGAGAAUGUUAUCACGGGAGACACACGGCGGGUGCUAACGUCCGUCGUGAAGAGGGAAACAACCCAGACCGCCAGCUAAGGUCCCAAAGUCAUGGUUAAGUGGGAAACGAUGUGGGAAGGCCCAGACAGCCAGGAUGUUGGCUUAGAAGCAGCCAUCAUUUAAAGAAAGCGUAAUAGCUCACUGGUCGAGUCGGCCUGCGCGGAAGAUGUAACGGGGCUAAACCAUGCACCGAAGCUGCGGCAGCGACGCUUAUGCGUUGUUGGGUAGGGGAGCGUUCUGUAAGCCUGCGAAGGUGUGCUGUGAGGCAUGCUGGAGGUAUCAGAAGUGCGAAUGCUGACAUAAGUAACGAUAAAGCGGGUGAAAAGCCCGCUCGCCGGAAGACCAAGGGUUCCUGUCCAACGUUAAUCGGGGCAGGGUGAGUCGACCCCUAAGGCGAGGCCGAAAGGCGUAGUCGAUGGGAAACAGGUUAAUAUUCCUGUACUUGGUGUUACUGCGAAGGGGGGACGGAGAAGGCUAUGUUGGCCGGGCGACGGUUGUCCCGGUUUAAGCGUGUAGGCUGGUUUUCCAGGCAAAUCCGGAAAAUCAAGGCUGAGGCGUGAUGACGAGGCACUACGGUGCUGAAGCAACAAAUGCCCUGCUUCCAGGAAAAGCCUCUAAGCAUCAGGUAACAUCAAAUCGUACCCCAAACCGACACAGGUGGUCAGGUAGAGAAUACCAAGGCGCUUGAGAGAACUCGGGUGAAGGAACUAGGCAAAAUGGUGCCGUAACUUCGGGAGAAGGCACGCUGAUAUGUAGGUGAAGUCCCUCGCGGAUGGAGCUGAAAUCAGUCGAAGAUACCAGCUGGCUGCAACUGUUUAUUAAAAACACAGCACUGUGCAAACACGAAAGUGGACGUAUACGGUGUGACGCCUGCCCGGUGCCGGAAGGUUAAUUGAUGGGGUUAGCGCAAGCGAAGCUCUUGAUCGAAGCCCCGGUAAACGGCGGCCGUAACUAUAACGGUCCUAAGGUAGCGAAAUUCCUUGUCGGGUAAGUUCCGACCUGCACGAAUGGCGUAAUGAUGGCCAGGCUGUCUCCACCCGAGACUCAGUGAAAUUGAACUCGCUGUGAAGAUGCAGUGUACCCGCGGCAAGACGGAAAGACCCCGUGAACCUUUACUAUAGCUUGACACUGAACAUUGAGCCUUGAUGUGUAGGAUAGGUGGGAGGCUUUGAAGUGUGGACGCCAGUCUGCAUGGAGCCGACCUUGAAAUACCACCCUUUAAUGUUUGAUGUUCUAACGUGGACCCGUGAUCCGGGUUGCGGACAGUGUCUGGUGGGUAGUUUGACUGGGGCGGUCUCCUCCUAAAGAGUAACGGAGGAGCACGAAGGUUGGCUAAUCCUGGUCGGACAUCAGGAGGUUAGUGCAAUGGCAUAAGCCAGCUUGACUGCGAGCGUGACGGCGCGAGCAGGUGCGAAAGCAGGUCAUAGUGAUCCGGUGGUUCUGAAUGGAAGGGCCAUCGCUCAACGGAUAAAAGGUACUCCGGGGAUAACAGGCUGAUACCGCCCAAGAGUUCAUAUCGACGGCGGUGUUUGGCACCUCGAUGUCGGCUCAUCACAUCCUGGGGCUGAAGUAGGUCCCAAGGGUAUGGCUGUUCGCCAUUUAAAGUGGUACGCGAGCUGGGUUUAGAACGUCGUGAGACAGUUCGGUCCCUAUCUGCCGUGGGCGCUGGAGAACUGAGGGGGGCUGCUCCUAGUACGAGAGGACCGGAGUGGACGCAUCACUGGUGUUCGGGUUGUCAUGCCAAUGGCACUGCCCGGUAGCUAAAUGCGGAAGAGAUAAGUGCUGAAAGCAUCUAAGCACGAAACUUGCCCCGAGAUGAGUUCUCCCUGACUCCUUGAGAGUCCUGAAGGAACGUUGAAGACGACGACGUUGAUAGGCCGGGUGUGUAAGCGCAGCGAUGCGUUGAGCUAACCGGUACUAAUGAACCGUGAGGCUUAACCUU